rnacentral:rRNA from 1 species
AGCAGCAGCCGCGGGAAUACGAAGGGGGCUAGCGUUGUUCGGAUUUACUGGGCGUAAAGCGCACGUAGGCGGACUUUUAAGUCAGGGGUGAAAUCCCGGGGCUCAACCCCGGAACUGCCUUUGAUACUGGGAGUCUUGAGUUCGAGAGAGGUGAGUGGAAUUGCGAGUGUAGAGGUGAAAUUCGUAGAUAUUCGCAGGAACACCAGUGGCGAAGGCGGCUCACUGGCUCGAUACUGACGCUGAGGUGCGAAAGCGUGGGGAGCAAACAGGAUUAGAGACCCCUGUAGUCCCUGUCUCUUAUAU